rnacentral:rRNA from 1 species
UACGAAGGGUGCAAACGUUGCUCGGAAUUAUUGGGCGUAAAGCGCACGUAGGCGGCUUAGCAAGUCGGAAGUGAAAUCCCUCGGCUCAACCAAGGAAGUGCUUUCGAAACUGCUGAGCUUGAAUACUUAAGAGGAUCGCGGAAUUCCCGGUGUAGAGGUGAAAUUCGUAGAUAUCGGGAGGAACACCAGUGGCGAAGGCGGCGAUCUGGGAAGAUAUUGACGCUGAGGUGCGAAAGCGUGGGGAGCAAACAGG